rnacentral:rRNA from 1 species
AUUGAACGCUGGCGGAAUGCUUUACACAUGCAAGUCGAACGGCAGCACGGGGGCAACCCUGGUGGCGAGUGGCGAACGGGUGAGUAAUACAUCGGAACGUGCCCAGUCGUGGGGGAUAACGUAGCGAAAGUUACGCUAAUACCGCAUACGAUCUACGGAUGAAAGCGGGGGACCGUAAGGCCUCGCGCGAUUGGAGCGGCCGAUGUCAGAUUAGGUAGUUGGUGAGGUAAAGGCUCACCAAACCGGCGAUCUGUAGCUGGUCUGAGAGGACGACCAGCCACACUGGGACUGAGACACGGCCCAGACUCCUACGGGAGGCAGCAGUGGGGAAUUUUGGACAAUGGGCGCAAGCCUGAUCCAGCCAUUCCGCGUGCAGGACGAAGGUCUUCGGGUUGUAAACUGCUUUUGUACGGAACGAAAAGGCUCUGGUUAAUACCUGGGGCUCAUGACGGUACCGUAAGAAUAAGCACCGGCUAACUACGUGCCAGCCGCCGCCGUAA